GUCUACGGCCAUACCACCCUCAACGCGCCCGAUCUCGUCUGAUCUCGGAAGCUAAGCAGGGUUGGGCCUGGUUAGUACUUGGAAGGGAGAAAUAAGACAAACAUGGGCCACAUGUC
rnacentral:rRNA from 1 species